rnacentral:sRNA from 1 species
GCGGUGCCAAGGUCGAUUGAGCUUUUGACACCUGAUAAAAAAAGGCGCUGAAUUCAGCGCCUUUUUU